rnacentral:misc_RNA from 1 species
UCCGGUUUGUCACCGGCAGUCCCCCUAGAGUGCCCAACUGAAUGCUGGCAACUAGGGGCGAGGGUUGCGCUCGUUGCGGGACUUAACCCAACAUCUCACGACACGAGCUGACGACAACCAUGCACCACCUGUCACCCUGUCCCCCCGAAGGGGGAACGCCCUGUCUCCAGGGUUGUCAGGGGAUGUCAAGACCUGGUAAGGUUCUUCGCGUUGCUUCGAAUUAAACCACAUGCUCCACCGCUUGUGCGGGCCCCCGUCAAUUCCUUUGAGUUUCAGCCUUGCGGCCGUACUCCCCAGGCGGAGUGCUUAACGCGUUAGCUACAGCACUAAAGGGUUUGACCCCUCUAACACUUAGCACUCAUCGUUUACGGCGUGGACUAC